GACGAACGCUGGCGGCGUGCUUAACACAUGCAAGUCGAACGGAAAGGCCCCUUUGGGGGUACUCGAGUGGCGAACGGGUGAGUAACACGUGAGUAACCUGCCCUUGACUUCGGGAUAACUUCAGGAAACUGGGGCUAAUACCGGAUAGGAAUCCUUGCUGCAUGGUGGGGGUUGGAAAGCUUCGGCGGUUUUGGAUGGACUCGCGGCUUAUCAGCUUGUUGGUGGGGUAGUGGUUUACCAAGGCUUUGACGGGUAGCCGGCCUGAGAGGGCGACCGGCCACAUUGGGACUGAGAUACGGCCCAGACUCCUACGGGAGGCAGCAGUGGGGAAUAUUGCACAAUGGGCGGAAGUCUGAUGCAGCAACGCCGCGUGCGGGAUGACGGCCUUCGGGUUGUAAACCGCUUUCAGCAGGGGCGAAGCUUGUGGUGACGGUACCUGCAGAAGAAGCACCGGCUAACUACGUG
rnacentral:rRNA from 1 species